AACCAAGACUCCAUGCUGCUGUGCAAAUAGCCUGGCAGGAGAGAUCUGGUGUGUGAGGGUCUAAAUCUUCUAGCUGGAGAAUAAGGAGUUGUCCAGCUUCUUUUGGGCCUGCAGAGUGGACUUCUGGGACCAGAUUGAUUUGAUGCUGCAGCUCUGUGGAGUCUAAAGAGCACUCCAAGAACCACCUAGAGCUCCAGCAUCAAGGCAACCCAGCCCAUCUGCUCGGCAGAGACACAGUGGCGGUCCUGGCAUACAACCCCAUGGGUGGCCUUCCUCUCUCCUCUUCUGUACCCUUCCUGGGGGUGCAGAGCAGACCCACUGAGGAUGGACGCUCAAGCUGACAUGGAGACAACAGUGGGGAACCUGCUGUGCUGGGCUCAUAGGGACAGAAACUCUCAGAGGUGAUAACCCUAAACACCUAUUUAACAACCAAGAUGUCACGAAGAUAAUACAAAUCAAGGGGAAAAAGGGAGCACAGUUUCAGAGGGAAUAAUGGGUGCAAUUAAAGUUAUUGAUGCUGCCAAUGACCAGAUUUGUAUAAGAAUGAUGAAGAGAGGGAUCCCUGGGUGGCACAGCGGUUUGGCGCCUGCCUUUGGCCUAGGGCGCGAUCCUGGAGACCCGGGAUCGAGUCCCACGUCGGGCUCCCUGCAUGGAGCCUGCUUCUCCCUCUGCCUAUGUCUCUGCCUCUCUCUCUCUCUCUGUGUGUGCCUAUCAUAA
rnacentral:lncRNA from 12 species